rnacentral:lncRNA from 1 species
GGUUGACUUCAUUUUCAUUAGAAUAUUUUUAUUUUUAAUUUUAUUGGGGAGUUUAUAUUUAAGGUAUUGGCUAUAAACUAAAUGAGUCAAAAACAGAGAUAAACUAAGAACUAGUAUGACCUCAAAAUAACAGGGUCGAGUGAGACCAAGUCCUAGGUGUGUCUGUACGACGGGGUAUAAGAGCAUAAAACAUGAAACUGCAUUACACAGCAAGAGACAAAAAAUAAAUAAAAAAUAGUUGAACUUCAAUUGUUAAGGGCCGCGCGAACGCAGGCCCCAACUAUCACAAAUUAUGAUGUAGGCUCCACCACUUGGGUAGACCUUAGGAUAGCACCCCUCCAAAGUGCAAUGAAAGUCACUAACCUAGGCCAUGGGCCAUCUUGAUCACCCAUUGACCCCAUCCAGGUAAGUACGUUAAAAUGUAUGAUGCAUGUCAUAUUUAUACGGCCAAUGGCGUAGUAUAAAUUUGAUGGUUAGGCAAUGUGGGAAUUAUACAUAAUCGAGAUGUAAUGCAAAGCAAUGAUGCAUCAUUCAAAAUGAAGGCCAAUGAUCAAUCGCUGGUCAGUGGUCACUACUAAAUCUAUGACAUCCUCGCUUUACACAUUUUAAUUACGAUUGAAUGUAAUAUAAUUUAAAAUUUUGGUCUUAAAUGACAUGACACGAGUGAGAUCUAUCGAACCAGUAUUACAUUGACACAUCAUUUGAAAUUUUCUGAAAUGAAAAAUUUGAGACCCCUAACAUCAAUAAUUACUCCCUUCAUCCCUUAUUAUUUAUUUUUAUACAAGUGGACACAUUAUGAAACACAAGUAAUACUAUGUUUAUUAGUAAUAAGUAAAUUUAAAUUUCAAUAUUGACACUAAAAAGGAGGGUUAUUUAUUGAAUAAAAAAUAAUGAAAACAAAAAUAUCAUUGUUGUAAAAUUGCGCAAGUAAAAUUUGGGUACCAAAAAUAAAUCCGAACAACUAUUUAUUAUUAGAAAUAUAAAAUGCCAGACUAGCUACUACAGUUUCCAUAUAAAAAAAAGAUGAUACUAGAAUUUUAGGGGCCAAACCCUAUUGGGUAAGCACCUCCAAAAAUAGGCGUAUGCCACUAUCUAAUCGAAUUUUCUUUAAAAUAAAGUGUCAACAUUUCAAAUAACGAUUUCAACCUUCUCAUUAAAAACGAGGUAUUAUACACAUUCUGCUUGGUGUACUAUUAUUCUCCAUAAAAAUGCUCUUCUCAUGUUUAAAUUUAGAUGAUAUACACACAAUGAAUAGAUGAUUAAGAGUAUCAAAACAAUGUACUAAUCAAUUUUAAGAAGCCAAAUAUGUCAUUGAUUAUAUAUGAUGUGCAUCUCAAACAUAUGAUAAGUCAAAACCCUAGAUUGGUCAUCAAAGAGUCGAUAUUCUCCGAUAUCCGAUAUGUGAGUCCCGCUUUUCAAGGUGCAUUGGUUGCCUUCUUUUUCGCGAUGCAAUGGCUUUCGAGUUCUCUUUGACAUGGAAAGGUCGUAGCAAAAUUUUCCUCCAUUAAAUUCACUUGCCAUUUUCUUGAGCAAAAAAUGAAAGGAAUGGUAUUUUGUAGAAAUAGGAAAAGUGGGUAGAAUAAGAAGUAAUGUGGAUUAGCCCAAAUAGAAUGGUUAAGGUUUGUUUGCUUAAUGGCAAAUUUAAGAGGGUAGUUGAUGCUAAGGGGUAGUUGAUUAAACAACCCUUCCUAAUAAAGUAGAAAUUGGUGUAAAAUACUCCUUGGUCAAAAUAUGAGAUACAUGUCAUGUUUUAAACUUUUUUUCCAAAAUUUUACCUUAACAAGGAUUUUACAUACGAAACUUCAAACAGAACAAAAUAUCUACCAUAUGUCUUUUUCAUUCUGUCGAAAAUCGAUUUUACGGUAUAGACGCUUAUGACCUCCCCCUCUAUGCCCUGCGGUAAUGAUUCCUCUGGCAUUCCCCCUCUAUGCCCUGCGGUAAUGAUUCCUCUGGCAUUCAAGAGUUUGUAUCAUUUGAUGAUGCCAUGUGAAUCGCUAGAAACAUGUGAAGUGUAUGGCUAACCCAAUAACAAAAGUUUCGUAAAGGGACUUCUGUCUAUCAAUAACUGCAUGCAUUGCACGGUGGAUGUAAAGAAGUAGGCCAUUAUCUUGGCAAUAAUGAACCAAGAUAGUAUUAAAAAUAAUAAUAUUGAAGUAAAAUUGUUAGGAGGCCGCGCGAACGCAGGCCCCCACUAUCACAAAUUAUGAUGUAGGCUCCACCACUUGGGUAGACCUUAGAAUAGCACCCCUCCAAAGUGCAAUGAAGGUCACUACCCUAGGCCAUGGGCCAUCUUGAUCACCCAUUGACCCCAUCCAGG